rnacentral:rRNA from 1 species
GUGGCGAACGGGUGAGUAACACGUGAGCAAUCUGCCCUUGACUCUGGGAUAACUGCGAGAAACUGUAGCUAAUACCGGAUAUUACCUUGGAAGGCAUCUUCUGGGGUGGAAAGAAUUUUGGUCAAGGAUGAGCUCGCGGCCUAUCAGCUAGUUGGUGAGGUAAUGGCUCACCAAGGCGACGACGGGUAGCCGGCCUGAGAGGGUGACCGGCCACACUGGGACUGAGACACGGCCCAGACUCCUACGGGAGGCAGCAGUGGGGAAUAUUGCACAAUGGGCGCAAGCCUGAUGCAGCAACGCCGCGUGAGGGACGACGGCCUUCGGGUUGUAAACCUCUUUUAGUAGGGAAGAAGCGACUGGGUUUUCCUGGGAGUGACGGUACCUGCAGACAAAGCACCGGCUAACUACGUGCCAGCAGCCGCGGUAAUACGUAGGGUGCAAGCGUUGUCCGGAAUUAUUGGGCGUAAAGAGCUCGUAGGCGGUUUGUCGCGUCUGCUGUGAAAACCCGAGGCUCAACCUCGGGCCUGCAGUGGGUACGGGCAGACUAGAGUGCGGUAGGGGAGAUUGGAAUUCCUGGUGUAGCGGUGGAAUGCGCAGAUAUCAGGAGGAACACCAAUGGCGAAGGCAGAUCUCUGGGCCGUAACUGACGCUGAA